GACGAACGCUGGCGGCGUGCCUAAUACAUGCAAGUAGGACGCAGUUGCGAACGGGUGAGUAACGCGUAGGUAACUACCUAUUAGAGGGGGAUAACUAUUGGAAACGAUAGCUAAUACCGCAUACUAGUAGAUGGACCUGCGUUUGAUUAGCUAGUAGGUAGGGUAAUGGCCUACCUAGGCAACGAUACAUAGCCGACCUGAGAGGGGGAGCGGCAACACUGUGACUGAGACACGGCCCAGACUCCUGAGAGAGGCAGCAGGAGGGAAUCGUCGGCAAUGGGGGGAACCCUGACCGGGCAACGCCGCGUGAGUGAAGAAGGUUAUCGGAUCGUAAAGCUCUGUUGUUAAGGAAGCGGUACUUAACCAGAAAGGGACGGCUAACUCAGUGCCAGCAGCCGCGGUAAUUC
rnacentral:rRNA from 1 species